UAUACGUCCAAAGCACUGAGGGG
rnacentral:miRNA from 1 species